rfam:Cucumber Bulgarian virus RNA polymerase pre-readthrough protein, RNA polymerase, coat protein, movement protein, and symptom severity modulator genes, complete cds.
UGUCUGUGAGAAGGUCGGAGUUUCCCAACGCUUGGGGUAUGACGGAUUUCUGUCAUACUACAGUGGGGCGAAAUUGCGCACUUACUCGCGGGCG